GUAGGGGGCAAGCGUUAUCCGGAUUUACUGGGUGUAAAGGGAGUGUAGGUGGCUGUGCAAGUCAGGAGUGAAAGCCCGGGGCUCAACCUCGGGACUGCUUUGGAAACUGUAGGACUAGAGUGCAGGAGAGGUAAGUGGAAUUCCUAGUGUAGCGGUGAAAUGCGUAGAUAUUAGGAGGAACACCAGUGGCGAAGGCGGCUUACUGGACUGUAACUGACGUUGAGGCUCNNAAGCGUGGGGAGCAAACAGGAUUAGAUACCCUGGUAGUCCACGCCGUAAACGAUGAUUACUAGGUGUUGGUGGGUAAGACCCAUCGGUGCCGCAGCAAACGCAAUAAGUAAUCCACCUGGGGAGU
rnacentral:rRNA from 1 species